UACGGAGGGGGGCUAGCGUUGUUCGGAAUUACUGGGCGUAAAGCGCACGUAGGCGGCGAUUUAAGUCAGAGGUGAAAGCCCGGGGCUCAACCCCGGAAUAGCCUUUGAGACUGGAUUGCUAGAAUCUUGGAGAGGCGGGUGGAAUUCCGAGUGUAGAGGUGAAAUUCGUAGAUAUUCGGAAGAACACCAGUGGCGAAGGCGGCCCGCUGGACAAGUAUUGACGCUGAGGUGCGAAAGCGUGGGGAGCAAACAGG
rnacentral:rRNA from 1 species